rnacentral:misc_RNA from 1 species
GAUGAAGAACGUAGCGAAAUGCGAUAAUUAAUGUGAAUUGCAGAAUUUAGUGAAUCAUCGAAUCUUUGAACGCACAUUGCGCCCCCUGGCAUUCCGGGGGGCAUGCCUGUCCGAGCGUCAUUUCUGCCCUCAAGCCCGGCUUGUGUGUUGGGCGUGGUCCCCCCGGUUUAGGGGGGACCUGCCCGAAAGGCAGCGGCGACGUUCCGCCUAGGUCCUCGAGCGUAUGGGGCUUUGUCACCCGCUCGGGAGGGGCCUACGGGCGUUGGCCAUCCACCAUUUAUUUUUUUUACGGUUGACCUCGGAUCAGGUAGGAGUUACCCGCUGAACUUAAGCAUAUCAAUAAGCGGAGGA